AUGGAAAUCAUUGUUUUAUAAUUUUAGAUCCACAAAAUCGUCUUCCUUUCCUCCUCUUUCAGCCACCAUCACCAUCACGGCCUCUCUCCCACCACCAUCACCUCCGCCAUCACCACCACCUCCUCCACGGUAUCAACAAAUUGACACUAACAAAACCAUUUCAUACUUAUUUUUGGUUCAUUUGAGUGAGAGAGAUUUUCAGAGAUGAUUUGAAACAUCGAGAGAUAUCUUCUUCUAAGAUCAAUCAAAUCUUCGAAAUCGAACUGGAUAGUCACCAUCAACAGUUGAUCUUCUUCUAAUUUCAAGUUUAUUUCGGUGUCAAUUGAAGAUCCAUAAGAUCGAUACACAUAUUUAGGUUUUUGAUUUUGUUUUCUGGAGCAAUCAUCAUCAUGUAAAAGAUAAGGAGAAAUUUGACAUUUUUAUCAUUGAUGCUGUUGGUGGAUGCCAGAAGUGUAUAUGCUUUGCAGAAAAUAUUGAUGCGGGUGUUCCAUAAAUGCAGGGGAGUAUAUUUUGUGCUUGGAUGACAGCUUGUGGGACGAACAGGCUCUUUAGCAUUUUGAGAAUAAAGUUGUAUGGACAACCACAUAGUAGAAGAAGACAGACACAUGCAUAUGAAUUUUUUGAAUCACUAUGAGACGUUUUGUGGAGUUGUGAGAGAAGAGUCUGGCUGGGACUAUUUCGGAAGGCAUGACCAGGAUUGCUGCUGUUCAUUUUGUAGAGUUGUGAGAGAAGAGUCUGGAUGCAGUUGCUAUGAAUAUAUAAAUACUGGAGUUGUGGCCGCAGUUGGUUUUCCACGGGUUCAAAUGGCCAGGUGAUGGAGCUAUGCAGGGAGUCUCAGUGGCGGUGAUGUUUUUCUACAACAACAGUGGAUAUUAUUCAGUGUGGAAGCUGGGUUCACUGGUGGAGCUAACCGGUGCCUGCAUUUAAGGUAUACCUUUAGUGGGAAAUUAUCUUCAUGUAUGCAUCUUUGAGUAAUCAGGACGAAUCUGUGGUGCAAUGGUAGCACAACUGACUAUACGUCAGAAGAUGUGUGUUCGACUCACACUAGGUUCACUUUUUCGAGUACAAUUUUUAUUUUUUGGAGACAACUUGUGAUAGUUGCCUCCAUAUAUGAAGACAACUUGCGCUAGUUGCUUUCACUUUUGAAGACAGCUUGAGCUAGUUGCCUCAGAUUCGGAGACAACUUGAGUUAGUUGGCUCCAUUUUGUUUUGCAACUUGUUCUUGUACACUAUUUAUUGGAAACAACUUGAGCUAGUUGCCUCCACUGUUGGAGACAACUUAAGCUAGUUGCCUCCGGUAUGGACAUUAUUUAUUGGAGACAACUUGAGCUAGUUGCCUCCGAUAUGGACACAACAUCUGCUAGUUGACUCCAUAUGGUAGUGGCGG